rnacentral:lncRNA from 1 species
ACUUGCUAACAAGAUCCCCAGCUGCACCACCAGUGCUCACAAACCAAAACCCAGACCCAACCUUUAAAAGCCUCCACACUUUUGGUUCAUUGCAAGGACUACCCAGAAUAGGAAUCUCAAUGGUGAGGUCAGUGAGAGUUGGAAUGUAAUCAAGACCUGAUGCAGAGAAAUACACCGGUGUGCCGAUUGCAUCAGGGUUACGGAUUACAUCAAGAGGGCAUGUUUUGUUUCUUGUGUGUCCUAAUGUAAUGCCUCCAUUGUCGGCCCAAAGUGGAAAUACGUAGUAACCUUCACCUGGUUUAAGAGGGUUACCUUGUUUGUCUACUACUGCCUCUGGUUCAGCUCCUUGUAGUGGCUUUGUGUUGAACAAAACUAAGAGAGAAAGGAAGCAAAAGAGUUGAAUGAAUUUCAUGGUUUCUUGAUUUUUUUUUUUUUUUUGAUUGUUUGUAGAUUGUGAUGUUUAUGUUGUGUCUUUCUAAGUUAAUUGUAUGAUUGUUUAUAUAGAGAAGCAUGUCAGGUUUAAUUUGGACAUGUUUAUGGAGUGAUGGUAUAAAAAAUUAAGUUAGUGAUAUUAUAUAUUUGCCAUGAGCGCCACGCGGUACUAGUUUAAAAUGAAAUUUUGGGAACUUCGUGGAACACGUUGAUAGAAAAAUAAACAGCAUCUUCAUCCACAAUGGACUUGGUAUGGUAUCCCUUCAUCACGUUGACUUGUGAAUAAUGAUUUUCUUGGCCCAUUUGCUGCAUUAUGACUUCAAGAAAGUUACUCUUCUCACAUUUAAAAUUGCUAAAAAAUGUACUCAAUUGUGGUUAACUACAGUUGGCUUUUCCAACAGUAGAUAACUACCGUUGAACAUUUUUUAUAAUCAUUUAAUCAUUUUUUAAGUCAGUUUUGAACCACCGAAAUGUAGUUAACUAUAGCUUAAUACGUUUUUUUAGCAAUUUCAAAUGUGGGAGUAACUUGCGAAAAUUGUUUUUCUAGCAUAGAAUACUUCCUAUUGACACAAGUAAAUGACGCUUUUAUCCCCAGCGGCAGUUAACUGCCAUUAGGCUAUGCACCGGCAGUUAACAACUGAUGGCUUUUCAGCGGCAGUUAACUGCCGUUGUGUUUGUGAUAUAUUCAAGUCAGUAGCCAUAACCCAGACACUCACUCACUCCAUCAUCACCUUCACCAUCUUUCUCUCAAAUUUUCACUCACUCUCUAAAAAAACUCUAUCAAAUCAUCCAAAAUUUCUUCCACUAAAUCACAAGUAAGUUAUCACUUAUGUUAUUGUCAUACAUUUUAGUUAGUAUAUGUGUUUAUAUGUUUAUAAUUUUAAUUGUUGUUUAAUUAUUAAAUUUUGAAUUUUUGUUUUUAAUAUAAUUAUUUUGUAGAUCUGAAAUGCUAUUAACAUAUGUUAUGAAUACCUGUUAUAAUGAAGUUAUAUUGCUUGAAUUUAUAUAUUUUUUUGAAUUUUAUAAAUUUUUUAGGGUUUGAAUAUUUGUUUUUAAUAUAGUUAUGUUGUAGAUUUGAAACAAUGGCCGGGUGGAUCGACGUUCAUGCACAAUUCAACAGCGGAGAACCUCAGAGGUUGAAGGUUCGGUGCCUUGGUGUAACGUUAAGAGGUCUCAAGGAUGAACUGACUGAAUUCAACCAAGGAAUCAACCCUAGAGACACAAGGAGGGUGGAACACAUUCGGUAUAAACGUCCAACGCUCGACGAGGGCAGAGUAUCAUUCACUUGGGUGGAAUUAAUGAACGACGAAAACGUGACGAGCAUGUUCUGGGAGCACAACAUGUUCCAGUUGAUCAAUAUGUGGGUGACGUUGCUGAGAUCAACUGAAUAUAUCAUCAAAAGUUUGAUUCUUCCAGAAUAUCGUCAUUAGGUCCUGAAUGAACGCACCUUCCAGCUACCACAAUUGUCUUCCUUUGAAUGUGGUAAUUCAAACAUGCCAUAUGGCAUGACUCCAAUGUUCGACUGACAUUCCCAUUGUUCAUGUCAAAAGAUUAAGUUCUUGUUAGGCCGGUUUAAAUGAAGGUAUUAAAGUGUCAAUGAAUGGACCUCAUUCUUUUGACACUUGAAUACCGACCGUCAUUUAAACCAAACCUAACAAGAAUUUAAUAUUUUGAAUGAAACUAUGAGAAUGUCGGUCGAACAUUGGAGUCCUGCUGCUUGGCAAGUUUGAAUUUACCCCAUUCAAAGGUAACACAAUUGUUGUAGUUGGAAGGUACAAACAUCCAACUGCAACAAUUGUCUUCCUUUGAAUGAGGUAAUUCAAACUUGUUAAUCGACAGGAAUCCAACAUUCGAUAAACAUCUUGAAUACUGGUAUUGAAGUGUCAAGGAAUGCACCUCAUUCUUUUGACACUUGAAUACCAUCAUUCAAGAUGCUGAUAGGAUGUUGGAGUUCUGCUGUUUAGCAAGUUUGAAUUUGCCCAUUCAUGGAUAAGAUAAUUGUUGCAGUUGGAAGGUACAUUCUGGAAUGUAAUGUAAUACAAUGUAAUGUGAUAACAUAUAUAGUUGAAUAUGCAUAAUACAUUUUGUUUUGAAUGGAACAAUAAUUAUCUUAUUUAUUCAGUUUUCGAAUUUAUUUAUUCAUUACGCAAUUUUAAUUAGUUGAAUUCAUGUUAGAUUUAAUUAGUUUUUAUUCGAAACACGAGUUUAAUCGAAAUUAUUCCAAAUGCGGUUUUAAUUGAAAUUAUUCAAAACGCGAAUUUAUUCAAAGUACCAAUAUGUCAAGGAAAAUGUACCAUAAAAAAAACAUAAAAAAAGAUCCGAAACAAUUAGAUAUUACAACCCGUUAUAUUAUAUCAUCUUCCUCGUAACACAAGUCAAUUGGGUUGUCCUCGACAGUCCCUGGGACACCUGCUUUUGGCUGAGGACCAAAAUAGCAUGUCCUCCCGCUCCUCCUCAACCUCGAAUGAUUAUACACCAGCACCUUCGAAUCCUUCUUUUUGACGGAUCCAUCACAUGUGAUUCCGUGCCAUGUCAUCGGUGAUUUUUCUUUCUUCUUGUCGUCACCCUCCUUCUUCUUGUUCAACUCAAUGUUUCUCUGAUUCUGAGACAUAUCUACAUAAACAAAUCGGUGAUCAAAACCUACAUCAUGUCGUAACAAUUCUACAAUAAUUCAUCAAAACCUAAACUAAUCCUAAAAAUUAUACCGUAACUAAUCGUAACAAUUCUAUCACAAAUUCAUAGCAACAAAAUUUCAUAACAAACCUAAACUAAUCGCAACAAUUCAUCUAAUCCUAAAAAUUCUACCAUAAUUUCAUAACAAUUCUACAAUUCUAACCUAAACCUAACAAUUCAAACAACCUAAACUAUCAGAACAUCAUAAAAUCAAUAAACCUCUAUAAUCGCAAUUUAACAAAAAAAACUAACAAAUCAAUCGCAAAAUAGCAAUGCAAUAGGAUUAAAAAAACUUACUUAAUUUUGUGCUUGAAAUUGGCUUGAAAUGACUUAUGCUUUGUGAAAUUCGCACCUAUGGAAGCAAAAAACGUAACAAUAACAAUGGAGUUUUGGAAACUUCUAUAUUGUUCUGUUCAUAUAUCAAAAACACAAUGACAGUUAACUGCCGCUGGAAAGCCAGCGGUUGGUAACUGUCGGCGCAUAGCCUAACGGUAGUUAACUGUCGUUGGAGGUAAAAACGUCAUUUAUUUGUGUCAAUAGAAAAUAUUGAUUGUCCAAAAAAGCAAUUUUCUUAACUUGCUUACUUCAAAGGAAGGCCAAGGCCCAAUUAAAAAAGGAGCAAUGAAAUGGGGAGUAAAGUUUCCAUAAGGUUGCUCUUUUGGCCUCCCUAAUUGCUCACAAGUUUUGAAAACGUCCUUCCCUAGUUUUCUACCAAAGCACUUUUAAACACAACAAAACAAUCUUCGGGAGAUACAAACUGAAAGGUUAAGCAAUUGUGGAUGGUCAAAAGUGCAAACUUCAAGUUCUCAUAACGUCAUGGAUAAGAAUAUGACCACAAAUGCGCAGUGGUUGCACAAGAAAUUGAUAAUUGACAUAUUCGAUUACCUGAUCACAUUCUUUAAUAAUAGGACCGUGGUCUGCAAAAUAAAGUAUCAAAUUAAGAUAUAAAUAUGUUAAUCAUUCCUUCAAAAAAAAAAAUGUUAAUCAUAAAAUCUAGAAUCAAUCAGUUUAACAAAUAAAAAAUUAUGACUCAUAAUUUGCCAAGGAGUUUCCUUUUCUCAUAAUUUGCCUUCGAAGAGGUUGCUUUGGCAUGAAGGUUCUAACAUUCAUAACUCUAAUUUCUUUUCCUAGAAGUAUUGUGGAUAUGGUCGUCUAACGUUGAAAAAGGGUGGUAUUGUGAUGAAUCAUGGUGGUGGUGCUGCUUGUGGAGUUGUGGGGUGUGGCAUAUUACCAUAAUUUGGCUUCAAAGAGGCUGUUUUUGCAUGCAGGUUCUGAAAUUUAUAGCUUGUAAUUUGUGUGUAAUAUUCAAAAAUCAUUUAGUAUGGGACGGAAGGAGUAAAACUUGAACAAAAUUGUUUUAGAAAUUAAAUUUAAUAUAUGCAACAAAAAAGUUUGUGAUAUUCGCGAGGCAUGUCAACAUACAACAUGACAAAUUAUGGUAUGGCAGUGCUUGUGUUUGGUUUUAAGCUUUUUAUUUAUUUUUUCUUUGUUUGGUGUGUCAUAAUAUCGAACCUAGGGCACUGAGAUUGAAAAGUAGAUUUUAACUAAGCGAUCAUAUAAGGUAACCAACAAUUUUUCAUUUAUCUCAUUAAAUCGUAAUAAACAUGAGAUUCCAACAAUCAUAUAAAUUAUAUUGAAUGAUGUAGAAAAAUAUAGUUUGAAGAGGAAUGAACUUCUUACAAAAGUUUGAAAAAAAAAAUGCAAAGAUGAAGGGCUUUUGAAUUUCUUUGAAGUAUGAUUUUUUUCAACUGAGAAAAGUGGUCAUGGACUUAAAAGUGAAAAUGUAAAUUAUUUUACACGGACAUCAAAUUAGAGCUAAGAAUUCGGCAUUUAUUUAAAAAAUGGAUGUAAUAUAUGCUUAGGUGACAAUACGAUGAUGUGUUUUUACUGGUUGGCAGCGUAAUCCUAUAAAAUGGUCGUUAAUUUAUAAACUUAUAGAGCAAGAGUAGUACCGUAGAAAAUGGAAAUAACCAUUUUCUCUUUUCUUUUGCAUUCUUGGUGAGAAAAAAAUAACUUGAGGUUCACAAUCCCAUAUGUGGAAUCGAUAUUUUAUCACGACGAUAAAAUCAUGCACUUGCGAUGAUAUCACUUUCUUCGAUUAAUACAUUAUAAAUAUGGAGUGUGAGGGGUAAAUUGUUAAAUUGUCUGCUUCCUCUAAAUUUUGACUGAGUUUGAUAUCUUCACAAUCUUCUUAGGCCUCGGUAAAAAUAUUCGACUAACCCAUGUUCGUCUAUAUUUUUUAGUGCAAAAAAAUUGAAAGGGUAAAAAUGGAUUGAUUUUAACUAGAAAAUUAAAAACUAAUUCAACAAUAUGACAUGUAUACCUGUGGCAAAAGACCUAAAACAAAUAACACUAUUCAUUGUUUGCUGGGAAUUGUGUGCGAAAAAGAAUAAAUUUUUCAUAAGAACUUGUUCAUAAAUCCAACAAUUAGAAACAACUAAUAAAAGUGUAGGAAAAAAAUAGAACACAGAUAAAUUUGAGACAGAUAUUAGACAUAAAGGUUGAAUUUCAUUUCACUUAUGACAAGAAAGGGUGGCAAAUCUUAAAACAUAACAAGUACUCUCUAACCACAAAUACAAUGUGCCAAACUAGACACCGCUGAAAUCUUGAUUCUUGUUCUGAGUAAAAGUGGAAGCCUUCUGAAAUCUAACAUAAUAAGGUUCUUCAAUACCAGCACCAAGAGCCAUAACUUUAGUUCCAUCAGUAUCUACAAAAGUUCCAACAGGAGCACAAAGAGUACCAGGAACAGAAGGACAGUACAGAAAGCUAUAAAUCUCAUAAGCAUGUUCUCCCUCAAGCCUCUCAAUCUUAAACUGGCUAAAAAGGUUCCCAGGAAAACCACCGGUGCUCACAAACCAAAACCUAGCUCUAGUUCCCUCUUUUGAAAUCUUCCACACUUUUCUCUCACUGCAAGGACUACCCAAUAUUGGAAUCUCAACGGUGAGAUCAGUGAGAGUUGGAAUGUAAUCAUGUUCAUAUUCAUAGAAAUAAACUGGCGAGCCAAUGGCUUCAGGGUUACGGAUAACAUCAAGAGGGCAUGUUUUGUUUCUUGUUUGUCCUAAUGUUAUGCCUCCAUUGUCAGCCCAAAGUGGAAAUACGUAGUAACCUUCACCUGGUUUAAGAGGGUUACCUUGUUUGUCUACUACUGCCUCUGGU